rnacentral:tRNA from 1 species
GAGGCAUAGCUCAGUUGGUAGAGCAGUAGACUCUUAAUCUAUGGGUCUAGGGUUCGAGUCCCUAUGCCUCC